AUUGAACGCUGGCGGCAGGCCUAACACAUGCAAGUCGAGCGGAUGCAGGGAGCUUGCUCCUGGAUUCAGCGGCGGAGGGGAGAGUAAUGCCUAGGCAUCUGCCUGGUAGUGUGGGAUAACGUCCGGAAACGGGCGCUAAUACCGCAUACGUCCUGAGGGAAAAAGUGGGGGAUCUUCGGACCUCACGCUAUCAGAUGAUCCUAGGUCGGAUUAGCUAGUUGGUGGGGUGAAGGCCUACCAAGGCGACGAUCCGUAACUGGCCUGAGAGGAUGAUCAGUCAAACUAGACGUGAGACACGGCCCGGACUCCUACGGGAGGCGGCGGUGGGGAAUAUUGGACAAUGGGAGAAAGGCUGAUCCAGCCAUGCCGCGUGGGUGAAGAGAGUCUUCGGAUUGUAAAGCUCUUUAAGUUUGAAGGAAGGGGAGUAAGUUAUAACCUUGCUGAGUUGACGGUACCAACAGAAUAAGCACCGGCUAACUUCGUG
rnacentral:rRNA from 1 species